rnacentral:rRNA from 1 species
UGGGGGAUAUUGGACAAUGGGGGGAACCCUGAUCCAGCGACGCCGCGUGAGUGAAGAAGUAUCUCGGUAUGUAAAGCUCUAUCAGCAGGGAAGAAAGAAAUGACGGUACCUGAGUAAGAAGCCCCGGCUAACUACGUGCCAGCAGCCGCGGUAAUACGUAGGGGGCAAGCGUUAUCCGGAAUUACUGGGUGUAAAGGGAGCGUAGACGGUGAAGUAAGUCUGGAGUGAAAGGCGGGGGCCCAACCCCCGGACUGCUCUGGAAACUAUUUGACUGGAGUGCAGGAGAGGUAAGCGGAAUUCCUAGUGUAGCGGUGAAAUGCGUAGAUAUUAGGAGGAACACCAGUGGCGAAGGCGGCUUACUGGACUGUAACUGACGUUGAGGCUCGAAAGCGUGGGGAGC